GUGUGUGUGUGUGUGUGUGUGUCUGGCUGUUCUGGAGAGCAGAAGCUGUGUGUGUGUGUGUGUGUCUGGCUGUUCUGGAGAACAGAAGCUGUGUGAGUGAAUAAGAGAGUAAAACUGUUUAACGUAGCUGUCAGAGGUGCUGAGCUGUGCUAAAGCCCCCAUUUUCCACUUCCUUACAUUCAUUGGUUGGUUGCCACUGUGUGUGUGUGUGUGUGUGUGUGUGUGUGUGUGUGUGUGAGAGAGAGAG